rnacentral:rRNA from 1 species
CCCUUAGAUGUCCUGGGCCGCACGCGCGCUACACUGACGGAGCCAGCGAGCUUACCCCUUUGCCGAAAGGCAUGGGAAAUCUUUUGAAUCUCCGUCGUGCUGGGGAUAGAUCAUUGCAAUUAUUGAUCUUGAACGAGGAAUUCCUAGUAAGCGCAAGUCAUCAACUUGCGUUGAUUACGUCCCUGCCCUUUGUACACACCGCCCGUCGCUCCUACCGAUUGAGUGUUCCGGUGAAUAAUUCGGACUGCAGUAGCGUGGGGACUCCUCACCUGCAGCGGAAAGUUUGGUGAACCUUAACACUUAGAGGAAGGAGAAGUCGUAACA